CCAGUGGAAGCAGCAUGACUGAGUUGUCAUCAAUCAGCCACGCACAGGAGCUCCUCGCAAGAUUUCUGACCAGGGAGUCCAAUAGUCAGAAGAGUAGCUCAAGACCCAAGGACCAAUCGGAAAGAGCUAAGGAAACACUUGGAGGCAGCAGAAAAAGAAUCAAGGUGUUGGAAUGGCCCAGUGAAUCACCAGAAUUGAAUCCAAUUUAACAUUUGUGGAAAGAGCUAAAGACCAAGGUUCACAAGAGUGCCCCCCGGAAUCUUCAAGAUUUAAAGACAUUAUGUUAAAAAGAAUGGGCCAAAAUUACACCUGAAUACUGCGGCCGAUUAAUUUCUUUUUACAGGAGGCGUUUGGAACCUGUAAUUUUUAAAGUAUGUAAGUAUUAAUAAAUUUAAGUUGCCGUGCUCAAUA